AUAGCGUAUAUUAAAGGUGUUGCAGUUAAAAAGCUCGUAGUUGAACUUCGAACGUGGCUGGGCGGUCCGCCUCACGGUGUGUACUGUCUGGCUGUGUUCUCUUUCUUGGUGAGCCGGCAUGCCCUUAAUUGGGUGUGUUGGGGAACCAGGACGUUUACCUUGAGAAAAUUAGAGUGUUCAAAGCAGGCCUACGCCCGGAUACAUUAGCAUGGCAUAAUAAAAUAGGACGUGCGGUUCUAUUUUGUUGGUUUCUAGAGUCGCCGUAAUGAUUAAUAGGGAUAGUUGGGGGCAUUAGUAUUCCGUUGCUAGAGGUGAAAUUCUUGGAUUUACGGAAGACUAACUUCUG
rnacentral:rRNA from 1 species